AUUGAACGCUGGCGGCAGGCUUAACACAUGCAAGUCGAGCGGAGAUGAGGUGCUUGCACCUUAUCUUAGCGGCGGACGGGUGAGUAAUGCUUAGGAAUCUGCCUAUUAGUGGGGGACAACAUUCCGAAAGGAAUGCUAAUACCGCAUACGCCCUACGGGGGAACGCAGGGGAUCUUCGGACCUUGCGCUAAUAGAUGAGCCUAAGUCGGAUUAGCUAGUUGGUGGGGUAAAGGCCUACCAAGGCGACGAUCUGUAGCGGGUCUGAGAGGAUGAUCCGCCACACGGGGACUGAGGCACGGCCCAGACGCCGAUGGGAGGCAGCAGUGGGGACAAUUGGACAAUGGGCGGAAGCCUGAUCCAGCCAUGCCGCGUGUGUGAAGAAGGCCUUUUGGUUGUAAAGCACUUUAAGCGAGGAGGAGGCUACCUGGAUUAAUACUCUAGGAUAGUGGACGUUACUCGCAGAAUAAGCACCGGCUAACUCUGUGCCAGCAGCCGCCGUAACAC
rnacentral:rRNA from 1 species